CCUACGGGUGGCUGCAAUUAGGAAUCUUGCACAAUGGGCGAAAGCCUGAUGCAGCGACGCCGCGUGGGGGACGAAGGGUCUCGGCCUGUAAACCCCUUUUGGCAGGGAAGAACUAUGACGGUACCUGUCGAAUAAGCCCCGGCUAACUACGUGCCAGCAGCCGCGGUAAUACGUGGGGGGCGAGCGUUGUCCGAAUUUACUGGGCGUAAAGCGCGCGUAGGCGGCCAUUUAAGUCUGGGGUGAAAGGUUCAGCGCUCAACGCGAACAGUGCCUCG
rnacentral:rRNA from 1 species